rnacentral:rRNA from 1 species
UAUUGCGCAAUGGGGGAAACCCUGACGCAGCGACGCCGCGUGAGCGAAGAAGGCCUUCGGGUUGUAAAGCUCUGUUCUAAGGGACGAAGGACUUGGCUGUGAACAAUGGUCAAGGGUGACGGUACCUUAGGAGAAAGCCCCGGCUAACUACGUGCCAGCAGCCGCGGUAAUACGUAGGGGGCGAGCGUUGUCCGGAAUUACUGGGCGUAAAGAGCGUGUAGGCGGGUGCUUAAGUCAGGUGUGAAAGACCGGGGCUCAACUCCGGGGUUGCACUUGAAACUGGGCAUCUUGAGGGCAGGAGAGGAAAGUGGAAUUCCUGGUGUAGCAGUGAAAUGCGUAGAUAUCAGGAGGAACACCGGUGGCGAAGGCGGCUUUCUGGACUGACCCUGACGCUGAGACGCGAAAGCGUGGGGAGCAAACAGG